rnacentral:lncRNA from 1 species
UAUUAUUUGCUUUAUCCACAUGAUUGCUUCCCCCGAAACUUUCCUGGAAAAACUUGUUCUAUCUAUAUUGCCUCCCACUAUGUUUCAUCAUUGACAUUCAGUCAUUCCUAUCCUGCUCUGCAACCACCACCCUUUUAGUGGUGCUGACAGAACUGCUUGUGGAUUUGCUGCAAACCMGGUUGCUGAAAUGGCUCCAUGGACUGUUACGUGGCGCAAUCGAGGGCAUGCAAAACUGUGGUGUGGCAGAGAAAUAAACAGCUCUGGAGAGCAGCAAAUGAGAACUUCUGAACCAGCUUUGCCAAGAAGAAAAUGUGUUGUGAACUACAUCCGUAAGCAUUGCUAAUAUAAGCAUUCCCAUGUGCACAUGGCUGCAUAAGUCAUGAAAAAUGCUUUUGUCCAAGGAGCACGCAGCGUACAAGAGACAUUUUGGGGGGCCAGGAGAGGUGAAAGAAGUCGCAUAUAGACUUGGAGAAGACGACAAGGCAGAACAUCGACUAGUUUGGCUGGCAUGGGACUUCAGUUUCCUGCCUCAAAUUCCUACCUUUGCACAUGUCCUGGGAGGAUGAGCAUAUCGAAGAUUGCGAGGUUCUUUAUUAUGUUACAGGCAGCCAUGAAACAUAUCAUUUCCUUGGACUGUUUUCCAUCAAUCAGAGUAAAACAAGUAAACAAACUGAAGAUGGAGCAUUGCUACCAGAAGCCCUGCUCUUCAGCAAAGAAAACUCACUGGUCCUGA